CAGCAGCCGCCGCGGUAAUACGAAGGGUGCAAGCGUUAAUCGGAAUUACUGGGCGUAAAGCGUGCGUAGGCGGUGAGUUAAGUCUGCUGUGAAAUCCCCGGGCUCAACCUGGGAAUGGCAGUGGAUACUGGCUCGCUAGAGUGUGUCAGAGGAUGGUGGAAUUCCCGGUGUAGCGGUGAAAUGCGUAGAGAUCGGGAGGAAUACCGAUGGCGAAGGCAGCCAUCUGGCCUAAUACUGACGCUGAGGUACGAAAGCAUGGGGAGCAAACAGGAUUAGAUACCCCAGUAGUCCCUGUCUCUUAUAC
rnacentral:rRNA from 1 species